CUCCCAACCAAGCCCUCCAGCAAGGAUUCAGGGUGCCCCUCCGGCCUCGCCAUGAGGCUCUUCCUGUCGCUCCCGGUCCUGGUGGUGGUUCUGUCGAUCGUCUUGGAAGGCCCAGCCCCAGCCUAGGGGGCUCCAGAAGUCUCCAACCCCUUUGAUGGCCUGGAGGAGUUAGGAAAGACCCUGGAGGACUACACUCGGGAAUUCAUCAACCGCAUCACACAGAGUGAACUUCCUGCCAAGAUGUGGGAUUGGUUUUCAGAGACAUUUCGGAAAGUGAAGGAGAAACUCAAGACUGACUCAUGAGGACCUGAAGGGUGACAUCCCAGGAGGGGCCUCUGAAAUUUCCAACACCCCAGCGCCUGUACUGAGGACGCCCUCCAUGUGUGUCCAAUGUGGUCACACGCCCAGGUGUGACCAAUAAAAAUCCUAUGGAAAAUUCUCUCUGGCCAGGCAUGGUGGCUGACGCCUGUAAUCCCAGCACUUUGGGAGGCUGAGGCGGGCGGAUCACAAGGUCAGGAGAUUGAGCCCAUCCUGGCUAACACGGUGAAACCCCGUCUCUACUAAAAAUACAAAAAAAAUAGCCAAGCGUGGUGGCAGGCGCCUGUAGUCCCAGCUAUUCGGGAGGCUGAGGCAGGAGAAUCGCUUGAAACCGGGAGGUGGAGCUUGCAGUGAGCUGAGAUCGUGCCACUGCACUGCAGCCUGGGUGACAAGAGCCAGACUCCGCGUCAAAAAAAAAAAAGAAAAGAAAA
ensembl:lncRNA APOC1P1 apolipoprotein C1 pseudogene 1